rnacentral:lncRNA from 1 species
AAAAAAAAGGAUGAUAGAUGUUUUAUUCAGAAUCGUAAUACUCAUCAGUUAUCUUUGACUUAAUUUUUUUUAUCAUCUGUGGCACAAUGGCCUAGUAGUUCCUCUUAUUAGAGGCAUUUGUAGGGUUCCAACCCUGAUUGGUGAGAUGGCAGCAGAGGUGGUACGACCUGGUUACCUUUUGUUGUUCUUCUCCGUCUCCUAAAAGUAAUGUUAGUGUUUGAAACUUUACAUGAUGGUUUUGAGCCUCAAGAGCUCCGGUUUGGUGAUUAAUUUCUUAUAACUUGGGAUCUCCUAGAAA